rnacentral:rRNA from 1 species
GAUGAACGCUGGCGGCGUGCCUAAUACAUGCAAGUCGAGCGAAUGGAUUAAGAGCUUGCUCUUAUGAAGUUAGCGGCGGACGGGUGAGUAACACGUGGGUAACCUGCCCAUAAGACUGGGAUAACUCCGGGAAACCGGGGCUAAUACCGGAUAACAUUUUGAACCGCAUGGUUCGAAAUUGAAAGGCGGCUUCGGCUGUGACUUAUGGAUGGCCCCGCGUCGCAUUAGCUAGUUGGUGAGGUAACGGCUCACCAAGUCAACGAUGCGUAGCCGACCUGAGAGGGUGAUCAGCCACCCUGGGACUGAGACACGGCCCAGACUCCUACGGGAGGCAGCAGUAGGGAAUCUUCCGCAAUGGACGAAAGUCUGACGGAGCAACGCCGCGUGAGUGAUGAAGGCUUUCGGGUCGUAAAACUCUGUUGUUAGGGAAGAACAAGUGCUAGUUGAAUAAGCUGGCACCUUGACGGUACCUAACCAGAAAGCCACGGCUAACUACGUGCCAGCCGCCGCGGUAA